rnacentral:miRNA from 1 species
CCCGGGGCCCGGAGCGGCC